GACGAACGCUGGCGGCGUGCUUAACACAUGCAAGUCGAACGGUGAAGCGCCUUCCUUUUUGGUGGGUGUGGAUGAGUGGCGAACGGGUGAGUAACACGUGAGUAACCUGCCCCCUUCUUCUGGAUAACCGCAUGAAAGUGUGGCUAAUACGGGAUAUUCUGGGUCUGUCGCAUGAUGGGUCUGGGAAAGAUAUUGUUUCGGUGGGGGAUGGGCUCGCGGCCUAUCAGCUUGUUGGUGGGGUGAUGGCCUACCAAGGCGGUGACGGGUAGCCGGCCUGAGAGGGUGGACGGUCACACUGGGACUGAGACACGGCCCAGACUCCUACGGGAGGCAGCAGUGGGGAAUAUUGCACAAUGGGCGCAAGCCUGAUGCAGCGACGCCGCGUGAGGGAUGGAGGCCUUCGGGUUGUGAACCUCUUUCGACAGUGAAGCAGGCCUGCCUCGUUUGUGGGUGGGUUGACGGUAGCUGGAUAAGAAGCGCCGGCUAACUACGUG
rnacentral:rRNA from 1 species